rnacentral:rRNA from 1 species
AGAUUGAACGCUGGCGGCAGGCCUAACACAUGCAAGUCGAGCGGCAGCACGGGUACUUGUACCUGGUGGCGAGCGGCGGACGGGUGAGUAAUGCCUAGGAAUCUGCCUGGUAGUGGGGGAUAACGCUCGGAAACGGACGCUAAUACCGCAUACGUCCUACGGGAGAAAGCAGGGGGACCUUCGGGCCUUGCGCUAUCAGAUGAGCCUAGGUCGGAUUAGCUAGUUGGUGAGGUAAUGGCUCACCAAGGCGACGAUCCGUAACUGGUCUGAGAGGAUGAUCAGUCACACUGGAACUGAGACACGGUCCAGACUCCUACGGGAGCAGCGAGUGGGGAAU